CUGACCUCAUCCUGACUGUUCCCCUCACUGGAGCUGUGGUGGUGGGGUCUGGGUGUGGUCACAGAUCAACUUACUGCUCUUGUUAGGAGGGCUGCCAAAGACAUGUGCAAGCCCUUAAAGGCAAGAGAGGACACU
rnacentral:snoRNA from 1 species